rnacentral:rRNA from 1 species
CCUACGGGUGGCAGCCGUGGGGAAUAUUGGGCAAUGGGCGCAAGCCUGCCCCAGCAACGCCGCGUGAAGGAAGAAGGCUUUCGGGUUUUAAACUUCUUUUGUCAGGGACGAAGCAAGUGACGGUACCUGACGAAUAAGCCACGGCUAACUCCGUGCCAUCAGCCGCGGUACUACGUAGGUGGCAAGCGUUAUCCGGAUUUACUGGGUGUAAAGGGCGUGUAGGCGGGACUGCAAGUCAGAUGGGAAAACCACGGGCUCAACCUGUGGCCUGCAUUUGAAACUGUAGUUCUUGAGUACUGGAGAGGCAGACGGAAUGCCUAGUGUAGCGGUGAAAUGCGUAGAUAUUAGGAGGAACACCAGUGGCGAAGGCGGUCUGCUGGACAGCAACUGACGCUGAGGCGCGAAAGCGUGGGGAGCAAACAGGAUUAGAUACCCCAGUAGUC